GACGAACGCUGGCGGCGUGCUUAACACAUGCAAGUCGAACGGAAAGGCCCUGCUAUCGUGGGGUGCUCGAGUGGCGAACGGGUGAGUAACACGUGAGUAACCUGCCCUUGACUUUCGGAUAACUUCAGGAAACUGGGGCUAAUACCGGAUAGGAGCUCCUGCUGCAUUGUGGGGGUUGGAAAGUUUCGGCGGUCGGGGAUGGACUCGCGGCUUAUCAGCUUGUUGGUUGGGUAGUGGCUUACCAAGGCUGUGACGGGUCGCCGGCCGGGGAGGGGGAACGGCCACAUUGGUACUGAGGUACGGCCCAGUGUCCUACGUGAGGCAGCAGUGGGGAAUCUUGCACAAUGGGCGGAAGCCUGAUGCGACAACGCCGCGUGCGGGAUGACGGCUUUUGGGUUGUAAAACGCUUCCGCCUAUGACGAAGCGUGAGUGACGGUAAUGAGUAAAGAAGCACCGGCUAACUACGUG
rnacentral:rRNA from 1 species